rnacentral:lncRNA from 1 species
GCAGACAGAUGGAGCUUUGAGACCUGGAGGGAGGGUCUAUAGCUUUCAAACCCCUGAUUCCGUUUGUUCGUGAGAUUCUGCAGGAUCCCGCCCUUGUCUGACUGUUCAACUCUGUACUAAUUGUGAAAGUUGGUAAAUGAUCCCUCUAGCCAAUAGCUUGCUAGGGUUAACUUUCUGCCACUUGCAACUACAUUGAUAUAGUCACCAAAGUGUUUACUUAGAUCAAUGUUCUCCCCAGCAAAGACAGAAAUAGCAAACUGAUAAAAACUUUAUUACUGGCAUAAAUGUAUAGUGGCCUUACCUUUGCAAAAACACUUCACUUGGAUAGUCCAACACGACUUAACAGUUUAUUUUUGUUCUCUGGGUUUUAAUUUCCUCAUCAAUGAAAUGGUAGGGUUGAGCUAGAUCAGAAGAACUAAGGGAGCCCCAUGGACCACCUAGCCGCACCGCAGUGAGUGUGCGCUCAUUCUGACAUUCUUUCCCAAGGACUUUCAGUUCUGCUUCAGAAGACUUCUCUCCGCAGUAUGCGGGGUGGAAUUUACUUUUCGUUCCUGAACCUUAAAUGAUCUCGAAAUGCCAUUAUAACCUUGCUAACAAUGUAGUGAAUUAGACCAGGCAAGUAACUGAUUCCCAUUACAUGAGUAAGGAAAUUGAGUCACAGAGAAACUUGUAGUUUAGAUAAACCUGUUCAGCUUCUUUUUAACCCUCUUUCCCCUCUUCAUGUGUACCUGGGGAGGUGGAAGGAGGAUGAAAGACUGUGGCUGUUCUUUAGUAGUUUCUUUCCUUGGAAAAAGAACAGGGUGGGGCAUGCCACUGCUCUCGAAGGCUUCUGUACUCUUGCAUCGGAAAUCAUCUCCUUUUCUUCUCCAUCCCUUUGUCUCUCCUAACUUAUUGCAUCACAUCAGCACCAGCUGGCUGUACCCCAUAUUAGAGGAAGAUGGGGCCCAGCCAAUGAUUGCUUCUCUGAACUAAGCUGUACCCUGGCAAGAAAAACCUGCUCUUGAUAGUCUGCUGAAUAGUGACUGAGAUGACUGGCAGUAAAAUAGGAGACUUUUCAAGUGGAUGAAAGUUAAAUUCAAUAGGUGAUGCUGUGAACCCUCCCCAAGGGAGGUACCAAAAGCCUGCAUGAAGCAAAAACUGGAAACAAAUAAAGGAGAGUAUGGUGACUUUGCACUAAGUUACUCAUUUAUUCACAUAAUUAAUGAGUUUCUAUUAGUGUUAGGCACCGUUCUAGAUGAUGGUAUAAUUAGUUAACAAAAACCUCAAAACUCUCGCCCCCCAUGGAGCUUACAUUUCCAGGGAGGGAGAGAGAUGAUACAACAAUAAGAAAAUACAGAGCUAAUGUCAUUCUAUAUUGUAUAAUUAUGUAAAAUCAAGCCUGAGUAUUUGACAGCUUCUCAGAUACCACAGAUCUGUUGUUUAAUGAAAUCAGCCUAAAAGAUAAAAUUGUGUAUUUGCAUGUACACAUCACCUUGCCUGUAUUAUGAGUCAGCGUUUCUUCUUAUAAGAAACCACAGCUUGGUAAAAGGUAGAAGCUCAAUUUCCUAAUAAAGAGAUAUGUUUUACUAGGCAGGCUGUUGCACUGCAUAUUACUCUCUCUGACCUUGGCUUUAGUCCAAGGAGGAUUAAACCCAGAAAGAGAAGGGAGUAAAGCAAGGUGUAGCAGAAAAGCAAAACAAAACAAUACAAAAUAACCUCAAAGAAAUUAGUAACAAUAAUUAGUGCAUUCAGAGAUUAUAUCUUUCUUUCUUUUUUUCCUUUUUUUUUUUCUUUCGAGACGGAGUUUUGCUCUUGUUGCCCAGGCUGGAGUG